rnacentral:rRNA from 1 species
UACGAAGGGGGCGAGCGUUGUUCGGAAUUACUGGGCGUAAAGGGCGCGUAGGCGGUGCUCUAAGUCAGGCGUGAAAGCCCUGGGCUCAACCCGGGAAUUGCGCUUGAUACUGGAGCGCUUGAAUCCAGGAGAGGUUGGUGGAAUUCCCAGUGUAGAGGUGAAAUUCGUAGAGAUUGGGAAGAACACCGGUGGCGAAGGCGGCCAACUGGACUGGUAUUGACGCUGAGGCGCGAAAGCGUGGGGAGCAAACAGG